rnacentral:rRNA from 1 species
CCAAGCUUAACUUGGAGUCCGAACUCUCACUUUCUAACCCUGUGCACUUGUUUGGGAUAGUAACUCUCGCAAGAGAGCGAACUCCUAUUCACUUAUAAACACAAAGUCUAUGAAUGUAUUAAAUUUUAUAACAAAAUAAAACUUUCAACAACGGAUCUCUUGGCUCUCGCAUCGAUGAAGAACGCAGCGAAAUGCGAUAAGUAAUGUGAAUUGCAGAAUUCAGUGAAUCAUCGAAUCUUUGAACGCACCUUGCGCUCCAUGGUAUUCCGUGGAGCAUGCCUGUUUGAGUGUCAUGAAUACUUCAACCCUCCUCUUUCUUAAUGAUUGAAGAGGUGUUUGGUUUCUGAGCGCUGCUGGCCUUUACGGUCUAGCUCGUUCGUAAUGCAUUAGCAUCCGCAAUCGAACUUCGGAUUGACUUGGCGUAAUAGACUAUUCGCUGAGGAAUUCUAGUCUUCGGACUAGAGCCGGGUUGGGUUAAAGGAAGCUUCUAAUCAGAAUGUCUACAUUUUAAGAUUAGAUCUCAAAUCAGGUAGGACUACCCGCUGAACUUAAGCAUAUCAAUAAGCGGAAGAA